rnacentral:rRNA from 1 species
ACGCUUUUUACUUUAGCUUGCUAGAGUAGAAGGAGUUGCGAACGGGUGAGUAACGCGUAGGUAACCUACCUACUAGCGGGGGAUAACUAUUGGAAACGAUAGCUAAUACCGCAUAAAAGUCGAUAUCGCAUGAUAUUGAUUUGAAAGGUGCAAUUGCAUCACUAAGAGAUGGACCUGCGUUGUAUUAGCUAGUUGGUGAGGUAACGGCUCACCAAGGCGACGAUACAUAGCCGACCUGAGAGGGUGAUCGGCCACACUGGGACUGAGACACGGCCCAGACUCCUACGGGAGGCAGCAGUAGGGAAUCUUCGGCAAUGGGGGCAACCCUGACCGAGCAACGCCGCGUGAGUGAAGAAGGUUUUCGGAUCGUAAAGCUCUGUUGUAAGAGAAGAACGAGUGUGAGAGUGGAAAGUUCACACUGUGACGGUAACUUACCAGAAAGGGACGGCUAACUACGUGCCAGCAGCCGCGGUAAUACGUAGGUCCCGAGCGUUAUCCGGAUUUAUUGGGCGUAAAGCGAGCGCAGGCGGUUAGAUAAGUCUGAAGUUAAAGGCUGUGGCUUAACCAUAGUACGCUUUG